GAUGAACGCUGGCGGCGUGCCUAAUACAUGCAAGUCGAGCGAACGGACGAGAAGCUUGCUUCUCUGGUGUUAGCGGCGGACGGGUGAGUAACACGUGGAUAACCUACCUAUAAGACUGGGAUAACUUCGGGAAACCGGAGCUAAUACCGGAUAAUAUUUUGAACCGCAUGGUUCAAAAGUGAAAGACGGUCUUGCUGUCACUUAUAGAUGGAUCCGCGCUGCAUUAGCUAGUUGGUAAGGUAACAGCUUACCAAGGCAACGAUGCAUAGCCGACCUGAGAGGGUGAUCGGCCACACUGGAACUGAGACACGGUCCAGACUCCUACGGGAGGCAGCAGUAGGGAAUCUUCCGCAAUGGGCGAAAGCCUGACGGAGCAACGCCGCGUGAGUGAUGAAGGUCUUCGGAUCGUAAAACUCUGUUAUUAGGGAAGAACAUAUGUGUAAGUAACUGUGCACAUCUUGACGGUACCUAAUCAGAAAGCCACGGCUAACUACGUG
rnacentral:rRNA from 1 species